rnacentral:lncRNA from 1 species
CUCGUUUUGAAUGUUCCCUCUCUGAAAUUUUUCGCUGCAGUAUGUAUUGCAUUCCAGGACAAAGGCUCUGUGCCUCCGGUGAUCGAUUUCUUGAGGAGACGGCACUUAUGUCCAGAGCGGCUAUGUUAUUCCAGUCUUGCAGGCUUGAUCAAAAUCGUGCGUCAAAAAGACAAGAAAACGUUGGUUGAAGUACACCGUUGCACUAG